ACUUUCUACAGUCUGUGGAGACAGCAGUUGCGUCCCUGUGGCUUUGGUGCACCUGUGUGCACUUUCUCCCUCCACCUGGAGCAUGGGCUGACACCGGAGGAAAGGAAAAGACAGAGUCAGACAGGGGACAAUGAAGCCUUUGAAGUGCCAGUCUAUGAAGAGGCCGUGGUGGGACUAGAAUCCCAGUGCCGCCCCCAAGAGUUGGACCAACCACCCCCCUACAGCACUGUUGUGAUACCCCCAGCACCUGAGGAGGAACAACCUAGCCAUCCAGAGGGGUCCAGGAGAGCCGAACUGGAACAGAGGCGAAUGGCCUCAGAGGGGUCUAUGGCCCAGGAAGGAAGCCCUGGAAGAGCUCCAAUCAACCUUCGGCUUCGGGGACCACGGGCUGUGUCCACUGCUCCUGAUCUGCGGAGCUUGGGAGCAGUCCCCAGAUUAGAGCCUCUGACUCCACCCCCUGCCUAUGAUGUCUGCCUUGGUCACCCUGAUGAUGACAGUGUUUUUUAUGAAGACAACUGGGCACCCCCUUAAAUGACUCUCCCAAGAUUUCUCUUCUCUCCACAC
rnacentral:sRNA from 1 species